AUCCAGCUGACGAAUCACAAAUAGGACAAAACGAGCGUCCUGGAU
rnacentral:hammerhead_ribozyme from 1 species